AGUGAACGCUGGCGGUAGGCCUAACACAUGCAAGUCGAACGGCAGCACAGUAAGAGCUUGCUCUUACGGGUGGCGAGUGGCGGACGGGUGAGGAAUACAUCGGAAUCUACUUUUUCGUGGGGGAUAACGUAGGGAAACUUACGCUAAUACCGCAUACGACCUACGGGUGAAAGCAGGGGAUCUUCGGACCUUGCGCGAUUGAAUGAGCCGAUGUCGGAUUAGCUAGUUGGCGGGGUAAAGGCCCACCAAGGCGACGAUCCGUAGCUGGUCUGAGAGGAUGAACAGACAAAGUGGAAAUGAGACAGGGGCAAGACUCCGACGGGAGGCAGCAGUGGGGAAUAUUGGACAAGGGGCGCAAGACUGAUCAAGCAAUAUAGCGGGGGUGAAGAAGGCCUUGGGGUUGUAAAGCCCGUUUGUAGGGAAAGAAAAGCAGCAGGUUAAUAACCCGCUGGUCUGACGGUACCCAAAGAAUAAGCACAGGAUAACUUCGUG
rnacentral:rRNA from 1 species